rnacentral:rRNA from 1 species
UCGAACGGUAACAGGAAGCAGCUUGCUGCUUCGCUGACGAGUGGCGGACGGGUGAGUAAUGUCUGGGAAACUGCCUGAUGGAGGGGAUAACUACUGGAAACGGUAGCUAAUACCGCAUAACGUCGCAAGACCAAAGAGGGGGACCUUCGGGCCUCUUGCCAUCGGAUGUGCCCAGAUGGGAUUAGCUAGUAGGUGGGGUAACGGCUCACCUAGGCGACGAUCCCUAGCUGGUCUGAGAGGAUGACCAGCCACACUGGAACUGAGACACGGUCCAGACUCCUACGGGAGGCAGCAGUGGGGAAUAUUGCACAAUGGGCGCAAGCCUGAUGCAGCCAUGCCGCGUGUAUGAAGAAGGCCUUCGGGUUGUAAAGUACUUUCAGCGGGGAGGAAGGCGAUAAGGUUAAUAACCUUGUCGAUUGACGUUACCCGCAGAAGAAGCACCGGCUAACUCCGUGCCAGCAGCCGCGGUAAUACGGAGGGUGCAAGCGUUAAUCGGAAUUACUGGGCGUAAAGCGCACGCAGGCGGUCUGUCAAGUCGGAUGUGAAAUCCCCGGGCUCAACCUGGGAACUGCAUUCGAAACUGGCAGGCUAGAGUCUUGUAGAGGGGGGUAGAAUUCCAGGUGUAGCGGUGAAAUGCGUAGAGAUCUGGAGGAAUACCGGUGGCGAAGGCGGCCCCCCUGGACAAAGACUGACGCUCAGGUGCGAAAGC